rnacentral:rRNA from 1 species
AUGCCGCGGGACCUUCAUGCGCAAUCCAGGUUACCAUGGGCUGUUAUAGGGGACUUUAACGAGAUUCUGCUCUCAUCGGAGAAGGAGGGGGGUGCUACCCGCCCUCACACUCGCAUCCAAGCUUUUCAGGAUGCAUUGUCUGACUACUCUUUGGAAGAUCUGGGAUAUGAAGGGGACAAUUUCACCUGGUUCCGAGGAGGUUUACAAGAGAGGCUGGACAGGGCAGUUUCAAAUGUGGAGUGGCUACUAAUGCACCCUUGGGCAGGUCUGAGCAACCUCGAGAUGGGGAAGUCUGACCACCGACCCAUUUGCUUGGAUACUAAUCACUUAGCUGGGGUGGCAGAGAGUAGGCCGACUUACAAAAGAAAUUUUGAAGCUAGAUGGCUAGCGGAGGAGACUGUUGAAGAGGUGGUGAAAACGACACGGUUAAAAGCAGCCUAA